rnacentral:rRNA from 1 species
CCUACGGGAGGCAGCAGUGAGGAAUAUUGGUCAAUGGGCGGAAGCCUGAACCAGCCAAGUAGCGUGCAGGAUGACGGCCCUACGGGUUGUCAACUGCUUUUAUACGGGAAUAACGCGCCUUACGUGUAGGGCUUUGCAUGUACCGUAUGAAUAAGGACCGGCUAAUUCCGUUCCAGCAUCCGCGGUAAUACGGAAGUUCCGGGCGUUAUCCGGAUUUUUUGGGUUGAAAGGGAGCGUAGGCCGCAUGUCAAGCUUGCUGUGAAAUGCCCGGGCUCAACCCGGGCCUUGCAGCGCGAACUGGCGUGCUAGAGUCCGCGGACAGCAGGCGGAAUUCGUCGUGUAGCGGUGAAAUGCUUAGAUAUGACGCAGAACCCCGAUUGCGAAGGCAGCUUGCUGCAGCGGAACUGACGCUGAUGCACGAAAGCGCGGGUAGCGAACAGGAUUAGAUACCCUGGUAGUC